UACGAAGGGGGCUAGCGUUGCUCGGAAUGACUGGGCGUAAAGGGCGCGUAGGCGGUUUGGACAGUCAGAUGUGAAAUUCCUGGGCUCAACCUGGGGGCUGCAUUUGAUACGUUCGGACUAGAGUGGGAAAGAGGGUCGUGGAAUUCCCAGUGUAGAGGUGAAAUUCGUAGAUAUUGGGAGGAACACCGGUGGCGAAGGCGGCGUGCUGGACCCCUUCUGACGCUGAGGCGCGAAAGCCAGGGGAGCGAACGGG
rnacentral:rRNA from 1 species